UACGUAGGUGGCAAGCGUUAUCCGGAAUACUGGGCGUAAAGCGCACGCAGGCGGUCUUUUAAGUUUGACGUGAAAGCUCCCGGCUUAACUGGGAGAGGUCGUUGAAGACUGGAGACUUGAGGCAAUGAGAGGGGUGUAGAAUUCCCGGUGUAGUGGUGGAAUGCGUAGAUAUCGGGGGGAAUACCAGUGGCGAAGGCGGUGUUCUGGGCCGGAACUGACGCUGUAGAGCGAAAGCGUGGGGAGCGAACAGG
rnacentral:rRNA from 1 species